rnacentral:rRNA from 1 species
UACCAGCACCCCGAGUGGUCGGGACGUUUUAUUGGGCCUAAAGCAUCCGUAGCCGGUUCUACAAGUCUUCCGUUAAAUCCACCUGCUUAACAGAUGGGCUGCGGAAGAUACUAUAGAGCUAGGAGGCGGGAGAGGCAAGCGGUACUCGAUGGGUAGGGGUAAAAUCCGUUGAUCCAUUGAAGAACACCAGUGGCGAAGGCGGCUCACUGGUCCGGUACUGACGCUGAGGUGCGAAAGCGUGGGGAGCAAACAGG